rnacentral:lncRNA from 1 species
UGAUCCAAUGGAUCGUAUCCCAUUUUCAUGGACUAGAUGAAAGCUCGAAUUACAGUAAAAGCACUGCAAUCAAGUUGUCAUAUACUCUUAUAUAAUUAAUACUAUAUAAUACAAAUGAGAAGUGUAGGUACGACAAUGAAAAACAAAAGUAUAUAACGAUGGAAAAAUGUAGGGGGCAACGGCAUCACACAGAGGGUUGAUUGGAGAACAACAACAAAGCGGCAGAGUGGGAGGGGAGGUCAGGGCCGUGAUGAUGAUGGACCCAGACGCGUUGGCUCAAACCUACUGACACAGGAGAUUGACCUCCGUCCCUCCAUCACCACAUUCUAUUAACCAUUCAAUAUUCCCCGUCUUUCUUUCCCCAUUUGCUCAACUUGCUCCCUUGAGCUUGUUGGCCGGACAAGGCCACCGGAAGCCCAUGGACGGCGGUGACUUAUGGUAGUGGUGGCUAGGAUAAAUGGAGAAGAAGAAACAGCGAAGGAGAGGAAAAUGUGGGAAGAAAAAGAACAUGGAAAGAAAUGGGAAAAUG